rnacentral:rRNA from 6 species
AGAAUGACUCUCGGCAACGGAUAUCUAGGCUCUUGCAUCGAUGAAGAACGUAGCGAAAUGCGAUACUUGGUGUGAAUUGCAGAAUCCCGUGAACCAUCGAGUUUUUGAACGCAAGUUGCGCCCGAAGCCAUCAGGUUGAGGGCACGUCUGCCUGGGCGUCACAU